CUACUACUGAAGAGUUCCAUAAUAGGACGAAACGACCAUCAAGUAC
rnacentral:hammerhead_ribozyme from 1 species